UACGGAGGAUGCAAGCGUUAUCCGGAAUGAUUGGGCGUAAAGCGUCCGCAGGUGGCGAAGUAAGUCUGCUGUUAAAGACUAGGGCUUAACUCCGGAAAGGCAGUGGAAACUACAAGCCAGAGUGCGGUAGGGGUAGAGGGAAUUCCCAGUGUAGCGGUGAAAUGCGUAGAGAUUGGGAAGAACACCGGUGGCGAAAGCGCUCUGCUAAGCCGCAACUGACACUGAGGGACGAAGGCUAGGGGAGC
rnacentral:rRNA from 1 species